GACGAACGCUGGCGGCGUGCUUAACACAUGCAAGUCGAACGGAAAGGCCCUGCUUGCCGGGUACUCGAGUGGCGAUCGGGUGAGUAACACGUGGGUGAUCUGCCCUGCACUUCGGGAUAAGCCUGGGAAACUGGGUCUAAUACCGGAUAGGAGCCAUUUUUAGUGUGAUGGUUGGAAAGUUUUUUCGGUGUAGGAUGAGCUCGCGGCCUAUCAGCUUGUUGGUGGGGUAAUGGCCUACCAAGGCGGCGACGGGUAGCCGGCCUGAGAGGGUGGACGGCCACAUUGGGACUGAGAUACGGCCCAGACUCCUACGGGAGGCAGCAGUGGGGAAUAUUGCACAAUGGGCGCAAGCCUGAUGCAGCGACGCCGCGUGGGGGAUGACGGCCUUCGGGUUGUAAACUCCUUUCGCUAGGGACGAAGCUUUUUGUGACGGUACCUAGAGAAGAAGCACCGGCUAACUACGUG
rnacentral:rRNA from 1 species